UCCAAAUUGUUUCUAUUACGUUCGUUGAUACAGGCAAUUGUUCAUUUCUGGUAUGACUAAAGCAUUUCUAUACAAUUCAACUUCUCAUUUUUUCUAGCUGUAUUUAUGAUGUACAGAGCGUUGGGAGAGAGUUGAUUAAGUCAAUAGUAUUUAUGAAUGAGACAAGGAACACUCAUACUAUAUCAAUGAUAAAUAGCUUUUAUAUUAUCCUGUU